GUUGCCGGUGAUGGAGCCGAGGAUGAUGAGGCGGCGCGACGGGUAGUCGGACUUCUGGAGGUCGUCGAGGAGCAGGCGCGCGAGGAGGAAGUGGCCCAGGUGGUUGACGCCCACGCUCAUCUCGUACCCGUCGGCGGUGAACGUCGGCGUCCGCGCCGUCGGGCGGUAGAUGGCGGCGUUGCAGACGAGGGAGUCGAGCGGCAUCCCGGCGCGGCGGAAGUUGUCGACGAACUGGCGGACGCUGUCGAGGGAAGCGAGGUCGAGGUGCAUGAUGGUGUAGCUGCCCUCCGCCAUGCCCGCGCCCUUGGCGGCCUUGGCCGUCUUGAGGAAGUCGCGGCAGGCCAUGACGACGUGCCACUUGCCCGUCUCCGCCAGCGCCUUGGCCGCGGCCAGGCCGAGCCCCGACGACGCGCCCGUGAUCACCACCACGCCCUGGCGCAGCGUCUUCUUGCCGUCCUUGGUCGCCGUGCUGGCACCCGGGGUGGCCACGGGCGCCGUCGCCACCGCCUGCGCCCUCACCGAAAGCGACGGCACCUGCAGCAGCUUCUGCACACGCACCAAAUUUUAACAUCACUUAAAUUUCAACAGCUAAUCGAUCGAGCAUUGUGUUGAUGUGCAAUGCAGCAGGUGCUGACCUUCUGGGGAACGCUGAGGAAAGCCGCCGUGUCCUUGACGACGGCGGCGAGGUUGCCCUUCUUGGGGACGGAGAGAGUGGAAGGGAGGAGGGCAGCCUGCAGAGCCAUGGCGGAGUUUGGAGCGUAGCUAAGCUGAGUUCAGCUGAGCGACAGCGAGACGCGCUGUUGUUUGCGGC
rnacentral:lncRNA from 1 species